rnacentral:rRNA from 1 species
CGCCCUUAGAGUUUGAUCAUGGCUCAGAUUGAACGCUGGCGGCAGGCCUAACACAUGCAAGUCGGACGGUAAGAGAGCUUGCUCUCGACGAGUGGCGGACGGGUGAGUAAUGUCUGGGAAACUGCCCGAUGGAGGGGGAUAACUACUGGAAACGGUAGCUAAUACCGCAUAACGUCGCAAGACCAAAGUGGUUCGUCACACCAUCGGAUGUGCCCAGAUGGGAUUAGCUAGUAGGUGGGGUAACGGCUCACCUAAGCGACGAUCCCUAGCUGGUCUGAGAGGAUGACCAGCCACACUGGAACUGAGACACGGUCCAGACUCCUACGGGAGGCAGCAGUGGGGAAUAUUGCACAAUGGGCGCAAGCCUGAUGCAGCCAUGCCGCGUGUAUGAAGAAGGCCUUCGGGUUGUAAAGUACUUUCAGCGGGGAGGAAGGGGGCGAAGUAAUCUUCGUUCUUGACGUUACCCGCAGAAGAAGCACCGGCUAACUCCGUGCCAGCAGCCGCGGUAAUACGGAGGGUGCAAGCGUUAAUCGGAAUUACUGGGCGUAAAGCG